GACGAACGCUGGCGGCGCGCCUAACACAUGCAAGUCGAACGAGCGAGAGAGAGCUGGCUUUCUCGAGCGAGUGGCGAACGGGUGAGUAACGCGUGAGGAACCUGCCUCAAAGAGGGGGACAACAGUUGGAAACGACUGCUAAUACCGCAUAAGCCCACGGUGCCGCAUGGCACAGAGGGAAAAGGAGCAAUCCGCUUUGAGAAGGCCUCGCGUCCGAUUAGCUAGUUGGUGAGGUAACGGCCCACCAAGGCGACGAUCGGUAGCCGGACUGAGAGGUUGAACGGCCACAUUGGGACUGAGACACGGCCCAGACUCCUACGGGAGGCAGCAGUGGGGAAUAUUGCACAAUGGGGGAAACCCUGAUGCAGCGACGCCGCGUGGAGGAAGAAGGUCUUCGGAUUGUAAACUCCUGUUGUUGGGGAAGAUAAUGACGGUACCCAACAAGGAAGUGACGGCUAACUACGUGCCAGCAGCCGCGGUAAAACGUAGGUCACAAGCGUUGUCCGGAAUUACUGGGUGUAAAGGGAGCGCAGGCGGGAAGACAAGUUGGAAGUGAAAUCUAUGGGCUCAACCCAUAAACUGCUUUCAAAACUGUUUUUCUUGAGUAGUGCAGAGGUAGGCGGAAUUCCCGGUGUAGCGGUGGAAUGCGUAGAUAUCGGGAGGAACACCAGUGGCGAAGGCGGCCUACUGGGCACCAACUGACGCUGAGGCUCGAAAGUGUGGGUAGCAAACAGGAUUAGAUACCCUGGUAGUCCAUACCGUAAACGAUGAUUACUAGGUGUUGGAGGAUUGACCCCUUCAGUGCCGCAGUUAACACAAUAAGUAAUCCACCUGGGGAGUACGACCGCAAGGUUGAAACUCAAAGGAAUUGACGGGGGCCCGCACAAGCAGUGGAGUAUGUGGUUUAAUUCGACGCAACGCGAAGAACCUUACCAAGUCUUGACAUCCCUUGACAGACAUAGAAAUAUGUAUUCUCUUCGGAGCAAGGAGACAGGUGGUGCAUGGUUGUCGUCAGCUCGUGUCGUGAGAUGUUGGGUUAAGUCCCGCAACGAGCGCAACCCUUAUGGUCAGUUACUACGCAAGAGGACUCUGGCCAGACCGCCGUUGACAAAACGGAGGAAGGUGGGGAUGACGUCAAAUCAUCAUGCCCUUUAUGACUUGGGCUACACACGUACUACAAUGGCGUUAAACAAAGAGAAGCAAGACCGCGAGGUGGAGCAAAACUCAGAAACAACGUCCCAGUUCGGACUGCAGGCUGCAACUCGCCUGCACGAAGUCGGAAUUGCUAGUAAUCGUGGAUCAGCAUGCCACGGUGAAUACGUUCCCGGGCCU
rnacentral:rRNA from 1 species